rnacentral:lncRNA from 1 species
CACCAUAAGUUUUCUCACUUGACAAAUCUGAAUCUGUUGAAGAAACGGAUCUAUGUACCAUAAGUUUUCUCAAAUUCUUUUGUUCUUUCUCCCUGUUUUAAUUUUAAUUUUCAUCGCCUUAUUUGAUCCUUUAUAGGCCAACCACAAAAAGACCAAUAGAAAACUGACUUAACUUCCAAUAGUUCACAGGUCUUUGCUUUGCUCAGUUAUAUUUAUUUUAUGCUAAGAGCUGAACUAGAUGACUUGAUUAUGGCGAAGGGGCAGAGCAUAUACAUGCAGGCUAGACUACAGAAGUUAUACAUGGACGAUAAGAUUUGGUCUCAUUCGUGGUCCAAUGUUGUGGUAGGACUCCUCUUUUAUACUCCCAAGAGUAUUUACUCCCACCUUAUCCAAUAGGUUUAUCCACUUGAUUUUUUAAAUUGAAUAUAUAUCCGUUAAUGGUUGCACAGCCCACCGCUGCAUGCAUAACAGAAUUGAUCGUGUGCAUGGUUGUUAGAUUUUUUAACGAGCAAUCGAACAUGCAUGUUCACCCUUUUCUAGUUGUAGGUUUCAGUGCUUUAUAUCUUGUAUGAGCAACACGAGCAGUAUCUUGUUAAAAAAAUUGGUAUUUCAAGAGUACAAUUAAUGAUGACAUAGUAUCUGCCGCCUUUUCUUCCUUUUCAAUUGAGAGGAUCAAGUAUAUACUACAAGCGUGCAUAUGUAUAUACCAUGUAUUUCCUAAAUUACAUUUUUUCUCUCUCUCUAUCCUUUUGGUAUUAGUAUGCGCUCAUUCUCAAUUACGGAAAUGAAGUAUAUACCACCUAAUUUCCAUAGUAUAUAUUGUAGGGUGCAUAGUAGUAUAUAGCUCUUACUAUUUUUUUAUCUCGACAGUAUAUACUUCGUGAGCCUAGUAUUAUACCAUCAAAAAGAGUUUACUAUUUUUUGAAGAAGUAUAUACUACAUUCUAAUGGAUUAUGUGCUACUUAAUUUUGGAAGGAGUAUAUGUUGAGUUUUUUUUCUCUGGAUGUAGUACAGUAUAUACCUCCUUUCAUGAAUAACAAUCAUUUACUGCCCAACGUUAUUUCACAAAAUGGGAAGAAUUUAUGUGAUACAGGAAAAUAAAAAAGAGAGUAUGCUAGCACA